rnacentral:rRNA from 1 species
UACAGAGGUCCCAAGCGUUGUUCGGAUUCACUGGGCGUAAAGGGUGCGUAGGCGGUCGGGUAAGUCUGAUGUGAAAUCUCACAGCUUAACUGUGAAACUGCAUUGGAUACUAUUCGGCUUGAGAGUUGGAGGGGGGACUGGAAUUCUUGGUGUAGCAGUGAAAUGCGUAGAUAUCCGGAAGAACACCGGUGGCGAAGGCGGUCUGCUGGGGUCGAACUGACGCUGAGGCGCGACAGCGUGGGGAGCAAACAGG